GAUGAAGAACGUAGCGAAAUGCGAUAAGUAAUGUGAAUUGCAGAAUUCAGUGAAUCAUCGAAUCUUUGAACGCACAUUGCGCCCGCGAGUAUUCUCGCGGGUAUGCCUGUCCGAGCGUCAUUUCAACCCUCAGGGCCCGCCUGCUUCGGCAGGCGCGGCGCUGGUGUUGGGGAUCGGCCUAACCGCCGUCCCCCAAAUACAGUGGCGGUCUCGCUGCAGCCUCCCCUGCGUAGUAGCAACACUCGCAUGCGGAGCGCGGCGCGGCCACGCCGUAAAACCCCCGACUUUCUGAACGUUGACCUCGGAUCAGGUAGGAAUACCCGCUGAACUUAAGCAUAUCAAUAAGCGGAGGA
rnacentral:misc_RNA from 1 species